rnacentral:rRNA from 1 species
UGUCCUACGGGACGCAGCAGUAGGGAAUCUUCCACGAUGGGCGAAAGCCUGAUGGAGCAACGCCGCGUGGGUGAAGAAGGUCUUCGGAUCGUAAAACCCUGUUGUUAGAGAAGAAAGUGCGUGAGAGUAACUGUUCACGUUUCGACGGUAUCUAACCAGAAAGCCACGGCUAACUACGUGCCAGCAGCCGCGGCAAUACGUAGGUGGCAAGCGUUAUCCGGAUUUAUUGGGCGUAAAGGGAACGAAGGCGGUCUUUUAAGUCUGAUGAGCAAGCCUUCGGCUUA